AUGGUUAUUUCCCUGGGAGGAUUUCCUGCUCUCACGCGGUCCUCAGCCUCCAGUUCAGCCGCGCGCUGCUCAGUCUCCAGUUCAGCCGCGCGCUGCUCAGUCUCCAGUUCAGCCGCGCGCUGCUCAGUCUCCAGUUCAGCCGCGCGCUGCUCAGUCUCCAGUUCAGCCGCGCGCUGCUCAGUUUCCAAGUCAGCCGCGCGCUGCUCAGUUUCCAGUUCAGCCGCGCGCUGCUCAGUCUCCAGUUCAGCCGCGCGCUGUUCAAUCUCCAGCUCAAUCGUGCUUUGCCCAGUCUCCAGCUCAAUCGUGUUUUGCCCAGUCUCCUGCUCAAUCGUGUUUUCCCCAGUCUCCAGCCCAAGCUCCAGACGCCGCGGCCCCGUUUCACCGCGCCCAGCGCCUCAAACGACGGACAGUCGCAGCUGCUCCGGACGGCGACGGCGGCGGCGCGGGUCCAGGAUCCCGGGUCCCGCGGUCUCGGUCAUGGGGACCGAGCAGCCUUCUUCCCCGACAGAGGAGCCCCUUAAUUCUCUGACUGACUGUGUCCCUCUGAUAACAGGCAUCCCAGACAGCGUCGCCCGACGGGUCCACCUCCUCUGCUCUCCUCCAGUUGCCUUUCUCUUCGCCCACCUCAUGAACACCGCCAAUUCGGCUACAGACCAGGGCGCGAGAGAACAACUGUUCGAGGAAGCAGCCACUCUCGUCCGGAGGGAGCCUGCCCUGCGUGAGGCCCUGCAACUCCCGGGCCUGCAGCCAGCGGUCGCUUCAUGCCCCACCUCUCAGUCAGGUCAGCCGUGUGUUACUCAUGCCCCGGUGCAGCCCUGUCGUCUCCAGGUCCCAGCCCAGUCGAACCUAGUCCAGACCCCAGAUCAGCCGUGUGUUGCCCAGACCCCAGAUCAGCCGUGUGUUGCCCAGACCCCAGAUCAGCCGUGUGUUGCCCAGACCCCAGAUCAGCCGUGUGUUGCCCAGACCCCAGAUCAGUCGUGUGUUGCCCUGACCCCAGUUCCGUCCUUGUCCCCGUCAGAGGGCGCCGUCCGUCUGACGACUGUUAACCCCACCCAAUCAGGCCCGACGUCUCCCCCGUCGAGCUCGGCAGCUGUAAGCUGUCAUGCCAGCUCCGGAGGGGACGCCGCUCCAGUCCCUGUCGGCCAUGUUGCGGUCGUUCUAGUUCCUGUCGGCUCCUCAGAGGAGGACGCCGUCCCUGUUCCCGUCGGCCAUAUUGAGGCCGUUCUAGUUCCAGUUCCUGUCGGCUCCUCAGAGGAGGACGCCGUUCUAGUUCCUGUCGGCCAAGUAGAGGCCGUUCCAGUCCCUGUCGGCCAUGUUGCGGUCGUUCCAGUUCCUGUCGAUCCGUUAAAGGUCGUUCCUGUCCCUGUCGGCCAUGUUGAGGUCGUUCCAGUUCCAGUCGGCCAUGUUGAGGUCGUUCCAGUUCCAGUCGGCCAUGUUGAGGUCGUUCCAGUUCCUGUCGGCCAUGUUGAGGUCGUUCCAGUUCCUGUCGGCCAUGUUGAGGUCGUUCCAGUUCCUGUCGGCCAUGUUGAGGUCGUUCCAGUUCCUGUCGGCCAUGUCGAGGUCGUUCCAGUUCCUGUCGGCCAUGUCGAGGUCGUUCCAGUUCCUGUCGGCCAUGUCGAGGUCGUUCCAGUUCCUGUCGGCCAUGUCGAGGUCGUUCCAGUUCCUGUCCCUGUCGGCCAUGUUGAGGUCGUUCCAGUUCCUGUCCCUGCCGACCAAGUUGAGGUCGUUCCAGUCCCUGUCCCUGCCGACCAAAUUGAGGUCGUUCCAGUCCCUGUCCCUGCCGACCAAAUUGAGGUCGUUCCCGUAGGCCGAGUAGAGGGCGUUCCCGUAGGCCGAGUAGAGGGCGUUCCCGUAGGCCGAGUAGAGGGCGUUCCCGUAGGCCAAGUAGAGGGCGUUCCCGUAGGCCAAGUAGAGGGCGUUCCCGUAGGCCAAGUAGAGGGCGUUCCCGUAGGCCAAGUAGAGGUCACCCCUGUCUCUGACCCCGUUCCUGUCGACCCUGUAGCGGUCGUUCCAGUCCCCGUUCCUGUCGACCCUGUAGCGGUCGUUCCAGUCCCCGUUCCUGUCGACCCUGUAGUGGUCGUUCCAGUCCCCGUUCCUGUCGGCCCUGUAGCGGUCGUUCCAGUCCCCGUUCCUGUCGGCCCUGUAGCGGUCGUUCCAGUCCCCGUUCCUGUCGACCCUGUAGCGGUCGUUCCAGUCCCCGUUCCUGUCGGCCCUGUAGCGGUCGUUCCAGUCCCCGUUCCUGUCGACCCUGUAGCGGUCGUUCCAGUCCCCGUUCCUGUCGGCCCUGUAGCGGUCGUUCCAGUCCCCGUCACCCGUGGAGCCGCAGCGCCCGCCGGUCCCCAGGAGGAGGUCGCGCUAGCCGUAGUUCCUGCGCACCUCCAGGAGGAGGUCGCGCCAGUCGCAGUUCCUGCGCACCUCCAGGAGGAGGUCGCGCUAGUCGCAGUUCCUGCGCACCUCCAGGAGGAGGUCGCGCUAGCCGCAGUUCCUGCGCACCUCCAGGAGGAGGUCGCGCCAGUCGCAGUUCCUGCGCACCUCCAGGAGGAGGUUGCGCCAGUCGCAGUUCCUGCGCACCUCCAGGAGGAGGUUGCGCCAGUCGCAGUUCCUGCGCACCUCCAGGAGGAGGUUGCGCCAGUCGCAGUUCCUGCGCACCUCCAGGAGGAGGUUGCGCCAGCCGCAGUUCCUGCGCACCUCCAGGAGGAGGUUGCGCCAGCCGCAGUUCCUGCGCACCUCCAGGAGGAGGUUGCGCCAGCCGCAGUUCCUGCGCACCUCCAGGAGGAGGUUGCGCCAGCCGCAGUUCCUGCGCACCUCCAGGAGGAGGUUGCGCCAGCCGCAGUUCCUGCGCACCUCCAGGAGGAGGUUGCGCCAGCCGCAGUUCCUGCGCACCUCCAGGAGGAGGUUGCGCCAGCCGCAGUUCCGGCGCACCUCCAGGAGGAGGUCGCGCCAGCCGCAGUCCCGGCGCACCUCCAGGAGGAGGUCGCGCCAGCCGCAGUCCCGGCGCACCUCCAGGAGGAGGUCGCGCCAGCCGCAGUCCCGGCGCACCUCCAGGAGGAGGUCGCGCCAGCCGCAGUCCCGGCGCACCUCCAGGAGGAGGUCGCGCCAGCCGCAGUCCCGGCGGACCUCCAGGAGGGGGUCGCGCCCGCCGCAGUCCCGGCGGACCCCCAGGAGGGGGUCGCGCCCGCCGCAGUCCCGGCAGACCCCCAGAAGGGGGUCGCGCCCGUCGUAGUUCUUGCCGACCUCCAGGAGGGGGUCGCUCCCAUCGUAGUUCCUGCCGACCUCCAGGAGGGGGUCGCUCCCGCCGUAGUUCCUGCCGACCUCCAGGAGGGGGUCGCUCCCGUCGUAGUUCCUGCCGACCUCCAGGAGGGGGUCGCUCCCGUCGUAGUUCCUGCCGACCUCCAGGAGGGGGUCGCUCCCGUCGUAGUUCCUGCCGACCUCCAGGAGGGGGUCGCUCCCGUCGUAGCUCCUGCCGACCUCCAGGAGGGGGUCGCUCCCGCCGUAGCUCCUGCCGACCUCCAGGAGGGGGUCGCUCCCGUCCCGGCUCCGGCCGCAUCUGCAUCGGUUCCUGGCGGUCCGGCUCCGGUCGCAUCUGCAUCGGUCCCUGGCGGUCCGGCUCCGGCCGCAUCUGCUUCGGUUCCUGCCUCUCGUCGCGGUGGUCCAAGGAGGACGCCGCUGGUUCACGUCUCUCGUCGCGGUGGUCCAAGGAGGACGCCGCUGGUUCCUGCCUCGUCUCUGCCUUUGCUGCCGGACUGGUGGCCUCGCCCUCGGCGCAUCCUGCUGCUGGGAUGGCGCUGCCUCCUGCGGCGCCGUCCGCCUCGACUCCUCAACCGCCGGGAUCAGCGUCCGCCUGGUGGACGCUGCCAUGCGGGGUGGUCCCCGGGGACAUCGUCCCAGCUCAAGGGCACUAAGAGUGCCAUCCUGGCUCAGCGGCUGCUGAGCAGGAUCUCGCCACGCCGUCACCCUCCGUGA
rnacentral:lncRNA from 1 species